rnacentral:misc_RNA from 1 species
GCAGAAAACAUGGGAACACAAAAUGUGUAUUGUGUUCAACCGUCGAAAAGCUUGAUAAAUGUGUCGUGAAGAUUAUCAAAGUGGGAUAAUCUCUAAAAAAUAAAUUUGUCUUAGCACAAUAAGGCAGAACAGUUGAAAAGCCUUGCCAAAAGGGAUCAUCUUCUGGUGUUCCUGACCAGAAUUGUACUGUUGAAGGGCCUGAUCAAGGUGGAACUUCCUGUUUUUAUCUUUAAUGCUAAGGUCCUAAAUUGCUUACUUAGUGAUUGGGCACCAGGAACUGGUAGCUCAAUUGAUUGGUUGUUUUCAAGAGAAAAUUAUUAUACUAGAAAUAGGACUUGGUUUUGAGCACAGAGCAAUUGUUAUAAGAUUUUAGUCCAUUAUGAUAGAGUUAGGAGUGAAUUUUAAUUGUAAACAAACAAAAUAGCUUGUAUUGAUAGUAAUGGCAGGGAUGCCCAGAUUAUAAUUAGUUCUCAGUAUCUCAAAGCUUUAGUAGUCUCUUGCUCUUCUCUGAAUAGAACCAAACAAGAAAAGAAAAUACAAAAAGGUGACAAGAGAAACUGAGGAAAUAAAUGGUUGACAAGCAACCCAAGGAACAAUUCCUGUGCUAGCAAAGUUUGCCCCAGCUCAUAGCUGCCAAAUAACAAUAAUCUUCUCUCUCUGUCUUUCCCUGCAGAAAUUAGCCACUGAAUCAUUCCAGCUGUCCCCUUUUCCAUUUGAUUUCCUCCACAAUUUCCUCCAACAUAUGACAUACCAGCUCAACAAUUCCAACUGUAACAUUCAAAAGAAGCUUCUCCACAUUCCAUUGCUCUUCCAUCCAUAUCCCUAUCACAUUAUUUCCUCUGAAAUUCUUCUGUAUUAUUGUAUGUGGCAAAAUCAUUGAUAUAUGAGUGGUUCUGCUGAUGGUAGUUACCGUUGAUUUGUUCAAUCUAAGGAAUUUUCUUUUCAAUAUAUGAGUUUUUUUGGCUUUGAUGAUAAAUCUUAAAUUCUUGGAUAGGAAAUAUAUAGCAUGCAGCACGUCAAUCUUAAACCCAUGGAUUUCUAUUUGUUGAUGCUUUCUAUUUGAUUCUUUUAAUGUCUUUCUUUAGUGAAUCGGCAAGGCUUGAAUGAGUAAUAUUGAUAACUUACUUCUCGUUUUUUUUUUUUUU